UGCAUAGGAAUCUACCUAGUAGUAUAGGAUAGCCACUAGAAAUGGUGGGUAAUACUGUAUAAUCCCUGCGGGGGAAAGAUUUAUCGCUACUAGAUGAGCCUAUGUCAGAUUAGCUAGUUGGUGGGGUAAUGGCCCACCAAGGCUGUGAUCUGUAGCUGGUCUGAGAGGAUGAUCAGCCACACUGGAACUGAGACACGGUCCAGACUCCUACGGGAGGCAGCAGUGGGGAAUAUUGGACAAUGGGCGCAAGCCUGAUCCAGCUAUGCCGCGUGAGUGAGGAAGGCCUUAGGGUUGUAAAACUCUUUCAGUAGGGAAGAUAAUGACGGUACCUACAGAAGAAGUCCCGGCAAACUCCGUGCCAGCAGCCGCGGUAAUACGGAGGGGGCAAGCGUUGUUCGGAAUUAUUGGGCGUAAAGGGCAUGUAGGCGGUUUGGUAAGUUAAAGGUGAAAUACCAGGGCUUAACCCUGGGGCUGCUUUUAAUACUGCAGGACUAGAGUCCG
rnacentral:rRNA from 1 species